CUCAUUUCUUUUUCCCACCGCCAAUAUACACUCUUCUAGACAUUCAUAGUCAGUCUAUCUCUGUCUCUUAUCAACGUCCAUAGCUCUCUGUCAUGAGGGAUUGAUUUCUCGCUGUUGUGCUUCAUCCGCUGUCAUCAUCUUUAUUCACGUUCGCCAGCCACAGUGAGUUGGUUGCUGAUUCUCCUUUUAUAUCAUCGUGCUGUUCUCUAUGGCCGAGAGGUUUCGAUCGAGUUGAUGUCUUCAUUUCCAUCUUCUUCUUCCUCUUCGCUGUCUUGGUUCGUCUCUGUCAGGUGGAGAUGUUGAAUAGUUUUUGUUGCUCUGUUUUGUGCUUAACCGAGGUGCAUAUUCAGGGAUUGGAACCCUUAGCUUUUCUCCUUCGAUGCUGUCCAGUGGCUGAUUUCUGUUUGUUGCCACUGAACUUUGUUGAGAUAUUAUAGCUGACCCUGUGCGUCCAACUGGCCAUUGAGGGCCCUUCUUGCCUUUUUAAAAAAGGAAGCACAUGGUGAUUAUUCUUUUUGGUGAAACCUUGUACUGUAUUUUGUAAAUUAUAAGUUAGUGCUCCAC